CUGAAAGUUACCUUCUUACUUGAUGUCUUACCCACUUCUUAUAGUGGGGUUCGGGUUUGUAGCUUACCCACUUUUCACGGUGGGGUUUAGAGUGUGUAUUGAAGAUGAAAUCUUGGCUUCAAAUUAAGGACACACUCCGAUUCCUAUCAUAUAAAAAGAUCACAACUCUUGGGAAGAAAAUUUAUGGCAUGAGACAUGAAUUCAUUUUUUAUUGAAACAUUUCAUGCAUUAGACUCAACUUUUUUCAGGAAUUUGGGCUGAUUAAGCAUAACGAUGCAAAGUGACAGGUUGGUUUGAAACGCUUGUUCAUGAUUGUCGUUUGGACAACAGGUAAGCCCACGGCUGAAGCCAGAUAGUUACAGCAUUCAACAAUAGUGAUCUCAUGUUCAAGCUGGCCUCUGGAACUUACAAGCAUUAAAGGACAAAAAAUUCUCUUGAAACAUAGUAUGUUUUCCCUUGGUGCUUUAUUAGGACUUGGUCCUUUCUCAGUAAACAAAGAUCUGACAUAGAUCAAAUGAAUAUUGCUGCCAAAAGGAUAAUGAAAGAUUGCAUGAUGGUUUAUAGAUUCUUGACUUAUAAAAAACUAUUGUGAACUAUAAGAUUGAAAACUACAUAUUGUGUAUUCAAAGAUUUUUAACAUGACUUCUUUGCUUCCAAUAUUAUUCUCAUAAA